CCACCAUACCGACAGAUUUCAACAACAUCAUGACGUCAUCGCACCAAAACCACCCUACGCGUCUACGACCAGACUCUUGUUCGAAAAUCAAACUUCCGACGGAAAGAAAAAUCUUAGUUUCUCGACGCACGUCUCCGACUAAUGUCGCGAUAUCAUACUACGCAGAACUCGGAUCAAGGUCAUCCGGAAUUAAAAAAAAAAAAAGAAACUUUUCGUACCCAUCGACCGCUUCAUCAAUAUACGUAUCGCUGUCGGCCAAUACCACGGUAACAUAAACACGUCCAACUUAAAUCAGGAAGCAAUAGCGGAUGAAAAUGAACAGAAAACAGAAUUUCAAAACACAUGGUAUACCAACUACUAACAAAAGAUCUUAUGUAUAAUCGUUAAAAUAUAGACCACCCAAAAUAACAAUUUAGCAAAAUAUUAUUUUACAAAGGUAUCUCAGUACUUAUAAUGUUGUAUACAUACGUGAACUCGAUAUAAACAUAUUCCAAAAUAAAUCACCUAUUGUAUUUUCAAAUGCACAAUAGACCUGCCGAUUUUUUACGGUUAGAGAAACGUACAGAGCCAAGACAUGAUAGAAAUUCAAUAUGCACAUAAAAGAGAAAAUGCAAUUAAAAAGCAAAUCAAAUUCAAAACUACUCCACUCAAUGAAGUUGAAGAUAUAAUAAAAUACAUUUUAGCUCAAUCUCCAUUUAACUUGAAAAGACAACUUAAAAAAAACACUGU